GCCUCCUUGGCCAAGUGGUAAGGCGUCGCACUUGUAAUGCGAAGAUCCCUGGUUCAAUUCCGGGAGGUGGCA